rnacentral:tRNA from 1 species
CAAAGAAAGGAGAUUUUAACUCCCACCCCUGGCUCCCACAGCCUGGAUUCUUAGUUAAACUAUUCUUUG